UCUCUCUCUCUCUCUCUCUCGUCCUCCAUAUACAAAGUUUUGGGAUCCAUAAACGAUAGUAUAGUACAGUAGAAAUAAUACACAUUCUACACUUAGACACAGGUUGAGGUUCUAGCACCUCAAAUAUGAGCUCUGUGAAUUCGACCAGGUUAUUUGACUCCUCUAAGCCUCCAUUUCUUCAUCUAUAUGUAAUUCGUGGAAAGAGCGUGGCACUCAUUAGGCACCCAGACCACACUAACCUCUUCCCUCUCCUUCCUCACCCCAGUUACUAUUUUACAGCCACCGCAGAAUAUUGCUCCAAACUGAAAAGCAGGAUUGGAAAGAAAACAGAAAAUAAUCUUUUGCCUUUUUGACUUUGUUAACAAGAAGUCUCCCUCGUUUUCAUCAAAAAGAGGUGAACACAGAGGCUUAGAACAAGACUUCGGGCAGAGGGGACUGUGUCUGACUCCUCCCUGGCUGCUGUAACUGAGUUCCACAGACCAGAGGACGUUUGUCUCACAGUCCUGAGGCUGGAGGGUCCAAGACAAGGAGCUGGCAGACUGCGCGGCUGCAGAGGCCCUGCCUGCUCCUAGACACUCUCUCGCUAUGCUGUCACAUGGUAGCAGGGGCGAGCUGUCCAGGACCUCCAUGUCCCUACACUUUGAACUUGGGGUUGAGUUUCGCCAUGUGAAUUCCAGGGGGUUGCGAACACAGAGCCCAUAACAAAGGCCUCCUUUCAUUCUCAUGUGCAUAUUUUGGUCAACAGAUUACUUUCCCAGCGAAGUGGCUCUGGUGCCAGCACAUGUCCCAGCCAGUGUGCACUUGUGUCCACACGCACUAGCUGUGCACAGCCAUCAGCGUGGUUUUUCUCAUCAGGUAGAUUGCAGAGCAACCUGGUGCGGACGUUGGCCAAAAAUCUUCUCAGAUAAAAUCUGCUGCACUCCAUAAACGAUUGCUUCACUUGAAGGAGGAAGAUGCUUAGCAAGGAAGCCUUGUGAGGAAGGCCCUGCACGCUGGCACAGGAAAUGAUUCCCGGAGGAUGACAAAAAGCCUGCUCAAGUGGCUUCAGCCAUCUCCAGCCCUGCCGUGCUGUGUAGCAUCAUGGCGGGAUGUGUGCAUUCCUGAAAACGUCUGAUUCCCCAGGUGACAGAGAGAGUGAGGGAUCUUCCAGAGGUGAGCCAGACUUCCAUGCCUAGGAUGCAUGCGCACCCAAGAACUUGGACCACGUGUAAACAGGGGGUCAUGAAAAGAAAAGCAAGCAAGGGGUCAGGCCACUAGCUCCAUGCAGGCGAGCAGGACCAUCCCUCCAGCAAACUUAGGAAACAUACUAGCAUGUGAAACCUUUCAGAGGGGACCCAGGUCGGCACCUCCAAAUCUGCCCAGCCACUGCACCCAAAUAUCCUUUCAAGCAGCUGUGACCUAUACAGAGAUAUGUAUAUUCUGAAAGCAGAGCAUUAUUAAAAAUGAGUCCAAAUACCAACUCUCCCCUAAAGCACAUAUUUUUUUUUUAAUGUUCAUGGUCCUUUGUGGUUCUGGAAAAUCACAACUCUGUGAAAAAACAAGAACAGUGCCCAGGACACGCUAAAGCAGCAUGAAAGGGGCCACCCAUCAGGACAGAUCAAGGUCAAGCAGGUGACUGAAAAGGAGGAAUCUGACAGCAUGCCAGAUUUCAGAAACUCAAAUCCACCAAUCCAUAGUUUUAUUCCAGCCUCUGUCUAUUUAAGGUCAAUUUGGAAAAGUUUUCAAGCAAACUAUUCUAAACCUAACCCCUUUUCUAGCCUGCUGUCUGAUUAGGGUUUAAAUGAGUUUACGAUAUAAGCCUUACUAUGCUCUUAAAAAAAAAGUCCCCCAACCCCCACUAAUUUAGGUUAAAAAACGAAGUAAUGGCAGCAAAAGUAUCUUUAAGUUUUGCAAUAAUCCUUCCAGUACUUCUGCAUCCCAAAAGGCUCCAGAUGUGACCAGACACUGCAAAAUGAUGAAGAAACUGAAGCACACACCACGAAGAAGACAAGCAACCACAGAUACACAGAAAAGCAUAGCAAAUUCUUUCCCUCGGUCCUUGCUUUCUCUCUGCUGUUCCUCUAAGAGAGGGUGAAGAAGCAAACCCCAAAGUCAGAAGCAGAAGACUUGAUGAGAAACUAUGGCACCAACACUGAAGACUCGGACCUGGAAGAAACACAAACUGUAGCAUUUCAAAUCGCUGCUUCCUGGCCCCUGGACUGGUUCUGAACCAGGGUGGGCCUCGCCCUGAAAGAAAUAAAGCUGGGGUUUGCA